rnacentral:tRNA from 5 species
GGGCCGUUAGCUCAGUUGGUAGAGCAGCUGACUCUUAAUCAGCGGGUCGGUGGUUCGAGCCCACCACGGCCCACCA